CCUACGGGAGGCAGCAGUGGGGGAUAUUGCACAAUGGGGGGAACCCUGAUGCCGCGACGCCGCGUGUGUGAAGACGGUCCUCUGGAUUGUACACCACUGUCCCCAGGGACGAAAAUGACGGUACCUGGGGAGGAAGCUCCGGCUAACUACGUGCCAGCAGCCGCUGUAAUACGUAGGGGGCGAGCGUUGUCCGGAAUUACUGGGUGUAAAGGGAGCGUAGGCGGGGAUGCAAGUUGGGUGUCAAAACUACCGGCUCAACUGGUAGUCGCACUCAAAACUGCAGCUCUUGAGUGAAGUAGAGGCAGGCGGAAUUCCUAGUGUAGCGGUGAAAUGCGUAGAUAUUAGGAGGAACACCAGUGGCGAAGGCGGCCUGCUGGGCUUUUACUGACGCUGAGGCUCGAAAGUGUGGGGAGCAAACAGGAUUAGAUACCCUGGUAGUC
rnacentral:rRNA from 1 species